UACGAACCGUCCAAACGGUAUUCGGAAUCACUGGGCUUAAAGGGUACGUAGGCGGCGCUGUUAGUCGGGUGUGAAAGCCCUCGGCUCAACCGAGGAAUUGCGCCCGAUACUGCAGUGCUUGAGGGAGACAGAGGUAAGCGGAACUGAUGGUGGAGCGGUGAAAUGCGUUGAUAUCAUCAGGAACACCGGUGGCGAAAGCGGCUUACUGGGUCUCUUCUGACGCUGAGGUCCGAAAGCUAGGGGAGCGAAGGGG
rnacentral:rRNA from 1 species